rnacentral:lncRNA from 1 species
AGAAAGAAAGAAAAAGAAGCAAUACACUUUCUGUGGGAAUGACAAAUAUCAGUAUUAGGAAAUCCAAUUAUACAAAAAAUACUACAUCUACUCUGGCAUUGGAGUCUGUUAACAAGGAAAGCUCUGAAGUAGUGACUCACCAGAGUUCUUGCAGUUGACAGAAAGUAGGCAGGACAUGUUAGUUAUAAAGUAGUUACAGCCUAAUUCACAAAAAUUACCAACUGUUUCUCUUUCUAGAAAGAAGCAA